CUGAUUGUGAGGGGGUGUGUUGGUUGACAGCACCAUGAAACCCUGCUACCCCUGCUUUUACUUCAGGGAUUUUUCCAGGACCAGCAGGGGUUAGACACAAUUAGCUUGGUUUGGUAGGUGGUUCUUGUUAGCCUACCUCUGAAGUACUAUAUAACCUGCUGACAGGGGCUGGCUGUGGCCAUAGGAGAUCUGAGACUGGCAAGGGAGCCCACUCCAAGGCUUUCAACCCAGAUUGCAGGAUGGGGGGCAGAGGUGGAGUUUCUUACCAGCACAGAUAUUUUUAUGACCUCAGUUAUGUGCUUUUUUAAACCUUGAAAUGACUCAUCUCAACUGUGGCUGGAUUGACUUUGAGCGUUUGAGCAAUUUCUUCUGGACUGACCCAAGACAAAAGGAAACACACAGAGCCAUUGGACUCUGUGGGAGGGCUCCCGACCUGAGAGUUUCAUCAGUAAUCUGCUGGAGCAUGUGGUGAGCAAGUUUGCUUUGCAACUAAGAGUUCCUUAAGUAAAUGCUAGUGAGUAUUAUGUCAUUAUUUUUCUUGUAAUCAUUUCUGACUUUUAUGCCUCAUUACUUAUACUCACUUAAAAUCUCUCUCUUAUUGUUUCAUCUAAUCCAGUGUGUUUAAAUUGAAGUGUCUGGGUAACUAUUUAAGAUAAUCAACUGACAUAUUAUUCAUUUAACGGAAUAACAGGCAAUAUAUUUGUACUCUCCAGGAGAGGGCUGGGCAAUACAGAGCAUACAUUUCUGGGGGAAGAUUUGGGACUGAGGGUAAUGUUGGUGUCACCCUCCAGUAUAACGCAGGCUGGUGAGAGCCAGGGUAUAGCUGGCAGCCUGCAGUUACACACAGACACUCAGGGUGUGGCUUGCACCCUGGAAGGUAGUUUGUGAUGGCCUAAGUGGGAGUUACUAUGACAAGGCAUUGUAAGAUACCCAAGGUUGCAGGGCAGUAGUGACACAGCUCUCCACUCGUCUGGAUUGUGCCCUGGUAUGUCGUAGUGAAGGCUAAGAUUUUGUUACGCAUAUUUUUCGUAAAAGUCGCAGACAGGUUUCUUUAUUGCCCGUGACCUGUUUGUGACUUUUACUAAAAAAUAUGCAUGACAAAAUGGGGAGCUGAAAGCUCCCCACACCAUCCAGGCAUUCCUGGCUCGGAGCUGCAGGGUCCCCACGCCACAGGUGGCUCCCAGCUCGGGGCACCCCUGCCACCUGUGGUGGUUCUGACUCAGAGCUCUGGGCACCCCUGGCCAGCCACGGCACUCCAUGCUCCCGGGCACUCCCACCAGCUGCAAUGGCUCCAUGCUUUGGCACCCCCCACUGGCCGUGGGGCCAGGAACUGCACAGCACCCCCACUGCCCGUGGUGGCCGGGAGCUGCGGGGGGGGGGGGGGGGGGCCACAGUUCCCAGUCGCCAGGGUGGCGGGGACCCUACAGCUUCCAGGCUCCAGAGGCUCAAGUCACAGAGGUCUUUGGAAAUCAUGGAUUCCGUGACUUCUGUUACCUCCAUGUCAAAGUCGUAGCCUUAGUCAUAGUCACUCGGGGAUAUGAAAAAUCCAGACCUCUGAGCACCAUAGGUAAGCCAACCUCACCCCUGGUGUAGGCACAGCAAGAUCAUCGGAAGACUGCUUCCUUCAACCUGCUUACCAUCCCUCAUGGAGAUAGUCUUUGUGCAGCGACAGAAAAACCCUUCUGUUGUUGUAAGCUGCGUCUAUGCUACAGGGUUAUGCUGGCAUAGCUAUGCUGAUAUAGUCCUCAUAGGGUAGACAUGGCUCCAGUGAAAUUUCAGUCUGGGCUGUUAUAAUUAAACUUAAAUCACCACAAUGACAAUGUGGAAUUAUAUUAGGAACCUUGCAUUCCUCAAAGGCCCCUCCAAUGUUGGGACACACCCUUUCCCCUCAUUAAGAUUAAAAUGCAGUAAGAUUGUGUGAUGUUAUAUGAUUAAAAUAUGACCAUAUAGAGCAUUGUUGCAACCACUGUUAUAUAUUUGCAGCAAACCUUGUACAAAGGUUGUCAAGUGAGGUGUCUAUGAAAAGGUUAUGAUUUGCUGGUUAUGAUUAUGCUAUCUGUACGCAUGUAUCGUUUUUGUAUUUGAAGUUAUGGAUAUUGGCUCUAUACCUGGAUUUAAAAUGUUUGUUUCUGGGGUACUGCCCACAAGGGAGCUAGCCAGCACAUCUUGGAGGGACUAUUCAAAUUAAGUGGCUCAUCAAGAAACACUGGGUUGACAAUGGACCAUGGGAGAUGCCCAUCUACACUGAGUGGACUGUGAUGUAAACGUGCUGUCUGGAGUGUAGGUAAUGGCUUCCUGCCAUAACUGAGCGAAACUGGGCAUGCCCAUGUGACUCCAAACACCAUCUUGUUGCUGUAAUUUUCCACAGUAAGAACAAUGUGUUUCCCUCCACAUGGCAAAAGCUAUAAAAGGCCUUGGAAACACCUCCAUUUUGUCUUCAAUCCAGCUUCUUACCUCUGGAGGAACUUUACAACAAACUGAAACUCUGAACAAAGGACUGAAUGACCCAUCCAAGCUGUGGAUGUACUCCAGAGACUUGACUUAAGCCAGCAGUUUAUUCCAUCACUGCUACAAGCCUGAAGCAAGACCUUUGCCAUUACUAUAUGUAUUUGAUUCUUUUAACUAACGUUAACUCUCACCUUUCUUUCUUUCUUUUCAUAAA